AUGACGAGGCCACGGUCGCUGCGCCGGAGCCUCGCCGUCGCUCCCGUGGCUGCGGGAUCCGAUGGCGACGGAUCUCACGGGAUGAUGACACGAGCGCGGCGCCGGCGGCUCUGCCUCAUGGAAGAAUCAUCCGAGCGCGAUCGACUGGCCAAUCUUGGCGCAACGGAUGAAUCAUCGGCGAUAAAGACGACAGAAGCGCGUCGUCAGGUCCACUUCGGACCGGAGGAAUGGAGGGAUUGGGCCAACCUGCUUCCUCUAGACCUCGUCGAGGAGAUCUCCGGCCGGCUGCUCUCCCUCGACGUGGCAGAGUAUCUCCGCUUCCGCACUGUGUGCAGGCCAUGGCGCGGACUCACCGCCAACCCGCGCACAGCAGGCCUCCUGGACAGCCGCUUCCGCCCCCGCAACUGGAUGGUGCUCUCAAUGAACCACGAGGCCGAGCCCCACCGCCGCCUCCUCAACCUGGCCACUGCGGCAUCUCUCGGCGUCCACCUCCCGGCGCUCUCCACCCACUGCCACAUCGGCGCCGCCGACGGCCUCCUCUUCCUCUUCCACAAGCCCACCAAGGCCAUUCACCUCCUCGACCCACUCACCAACACCGUCACCGAGUUCCCAGCCGUCUCCAACAUCGUUGUCGCCGUUCCCCCCUAUAGUGAACGUUACAUCCCGAAGUUGUUGCAGAAUCCCCUCCGCGUUGUUCCGACUUCCGAGGGUGAUCAAUGGCGCAUGUUUUGA
rnacentral:rRNA from 1 species